rnacentral:rRNA from 1 species
UACGUAGGGUGCAAGCGUUGUCCGGAAUUAUUGGGCGUAAAGAGCUCGUAGGCGGUUUGUCGCGUCGGCUGUGAAAACCCGAGGCUCAACCUCGGGCCUGCAGUCGAUACGGGCAAACUAGAGUGUGGUAGGGGAGACUGGAAUUCCUGGUGUAGCGGUGAAAUGCGCAGAUAUCAGGAGGAACACCGGCGGCGAAGGCGGAUCUCUGGGCCUUACCUGACGCUGAGGAGCGAAAGCAUGGGGAGCAAACAGG